rnacentral:rRNA from 1 species
UACGGAGGGUGCAAGCGUUAAUCGGAAUUACUGGGCGUAAAGCGUGCGCAGGCGGUUUGUUAAGUCCGUUGUGAAAGCCCCGAGCUCAACUUGGGAAUUGCAGUGGAUACUGGCAGGCUGGAGUACGGUAGAGGAAGGUGGAAUUCCCGGUGUAGCAGUGAAAUGCGUAGAUAUCGGGAGGAACACCAGUGGCGAAGGCGGCCUUCUGGACCAGUACGUGACGCUCAUGCACGAAAGCGUGGGAGCAAACAGG